rnacentral:rRNA from 1 species
AAUGAACGCUGGCGGCGUGCUUAACACAUGCAAGUCGAACGAGAAACCCCGGCUUGCCGGGGGAGUAAAGUGGCGCACGGGUGAGUAACGCGUGGGUAAUCUACCCUCGAAUUGGGGAUAACCCGCCGAAAGGCGGGCUAAUACCGGAUAAGACCACGGUGGCCUUGGCCACUGAGGUCAAAGAUGGCCUCUGCCUGCAAGCUGUCGUUUGAGGAUGAGCCCGCGUCCCAUUAGCUAGUUGGUGGGGUAAAAGCCUACCAAGGCGACGAUGGGUAGCUGGUCUGAGAGGAUGGCCAGCCACACUGGAACUGAAACACGGUCCAGACUCCUACGGGAGGCAGCAGUGAGGAAUUUUGCGCAAUGGGGGAAACCCUGACGCAGCAACGCCGCGUGAGUGAUGAAGGCCUUCGGGUUGUAAAGCUCUGUCGAGUGGGAAGAAUUUUUUUCGGCUGAAUAAUCCGAAAAAU